CCUUGAACAUGAGUGUCCUGACCCAGGUCCUCUGCCUUCUGCUGUCCUGCCUCCCAGCUGCCAGUGGCACAGCUGAGCUGAUUCAGUCUCCGGCCCAUCUCUCUGUGUCCCUGAGAGACAGCGUGUCCAUCAUCUGCAGGGCCAGCGAGAGCAUUAGUGAUGACUUAAGCUGGUAUCAGCAGAAACCGGGCCAGCCUCCCAAGCUUAUCAUCUAUGAUGCCGAUAACCUAGAGGCUGGUGCCCCAGACCGGUUCUCUGUGACUCAGUCUGACAGAGAAUUCACCCUCACAAUCAGCACAGUCGAGGCCAAUGACGCCGCCAGUUACUUCUGCCAGCAAGAUUAUGCACUUCCUCCCACGGUGAUGCAGCCCCAAGCACAAACCUUCCCCCAGGGCUGCUAGUGCAGAGA